GACGAACGCUGGCGGCGUGCUUAACACAUGCAAGUCGAACGGAAAGGCCCUGCUUUUGUGGGGUGCUCGAGUGGCGAACGGGUGAGUAACACGUGAGUAACCUGCCCUUGACUUUGGGAUAACUUCAGGAAACUGGGGCUAAUACCGGAUAGGAGCUCCUGCUGCAUGGUGGGGGUUGGAAAGUUUCGGCGGUUGGGGAUGGACUCGCGGCUUAUCAGCUUGUUGGUGGGGUAGUGGCUUACCAAGGCUUUGACGGGUAGCCGGCCUGAGAGGGUGGCCGGCCACAUUGGGACUGAGAUACGGACCAGACUCCUACGGGAGGCAGCAGUGGGGAAUAUUGCACAAUGGGCGGAAGCCUGAUGCAGCAACGCCGCGUGCGGGAUGACGGCCUUCGGGUUGUAAACCGCUUUCGCCCGUGACGAAGCGUGAGUGACGGUAAUGGGUAAAGAAGCACCGGCUAACUACGUG
rnacentral:rRNA from 1 species